AUCUACCUAGUAGUAUGGAAUAGCCAUUAGAAAUGAUGGGUAAUACUGUAUAAUCCCUGCGGGGGAAAGAUUUAUCGCUAUUAGAUGAGCCUACGUUAGAUUAGCUAGUUGGUAAGGUAAUGGCUUACCAAGGCUAUGAUCUAUAGCUGGUCUGAGAGGACGAUCAGCCACACUGGAACUGAGAUACGGUCCAGACUCCUACGGGAGGCAGCAGUGGGGAAUAUUGGACAAUGGGCGAAAGCCUGAUCCAGCUAUGCCGCGUGAGUGAAGAAGGCCUUCGGGUUGUAAAACUCUUUCAAUAGGGAAGAUAAUGACGGUACCUAUA
rnacentral:rRNA from 1 species